ACUCCUACGGGAGGCAGCAGUGGGGAAUAUUGCACAAUGGACGAAAGUCUGAUGCAGCAACGCCGCGUGGAGGAUGACACAUUUCGGUGCGUAAACUCCUUUUAUAUGAGAAGAUAAUGACGGUAUUAUAUGAAUAAGCACCGGCUAACUCCGUGCCAGCAGCCGCGGUAAUAC
rnacentral:rRNA from 1 species